rnacentral:tRNA from 1 species
UCCCUGAUAGCUCAGCUGGUAAAGAAUCCGACUGCGAUUCAGGAGAUCCUGGUUCGAUUCCUGGGUUGGGAA